rnacentral:rRNA from 1 species
CCUACGGGUGGCAGCAGUGGGGGAUAUUGCACAAUGGGGGAAACCCUGAUGCAGCGACGCCGCGUGUGGGAAGACGGUCUUCUGGAUUGUAAACCACUGUCCCCAGGGACGAAAAUGACGGUACCUGGGGAGGAAGCUCCGGCUAACUACGUGCCAGCAGCCGCGGUAAUACGUAGGGAGCAAGGGUUGUCCGGAAUUACUGGGUGUAAGGGGAGCGUAGGCGGUGAUGAAAGUUGGGUGUCAAAACUACCGGCUCAACCGAUAGUCGCACUCAAAACUGCAGCUCUUGAGUGAAGUAGAGGCAGGCGGAAUUCGUAGUGUAGCGGUGAAAUGCGUAGAGAUUAGGAGGAACACCAGUUGCGAAGGCGGCCUGCUGGGCUUUUACUGACGCUGAGGCUCGAAAGUGUGGGGAGCAAACAGGAUUAGAUACCCUUGUAGUC